UGAAGAGGUUGUUUUUCAGAUAGCAGAGUGGCGCAGCGGAAGCGUGCUGGGCCCAUAACCCAGAGGUCGAUGGAUCGAAACCAUCCUCUGCUAUGGAGUGUGCUUUUUGCUCCUUCUCAUUACUCCGUACAACGCACGGCUUGAUGAGCUGUGCCAUGUGCGAACCCUGGAUCCGAGCUGGCGAACCGUGGGCCACCAAAGGAGAAUGUCUGUGCUUAACUGCUGUGCCACCAGGCUGCCCGGUUGUGAACAUUUUUGUAUGAGAGUCUUGCGGUCAGAUGCAUUCUUUUUUCUUGGCAUGGCUUGCCAAGCGGUGCCAUGUCCCAACCCAAGAUCCGAACCAGCGAACCUCGGGCCACCGAAGCAGAAUGUGCGAACUUAACCGCUGCACCACCAGGCCAGCCCCCAGAUGUCAUGUUAUGUGUUCUUAGUACACACAUUCACACACAACACACACAGAAAAGGACACAAGG
rnacentral:lncRNA from 1 species